UUUCAGAAUAAAAUUAAUUGGAUUAAUUUCAUAGUUUUGAUAAUAACAUUAAAAAAAAAAAUUAGAUGUAUAUAUAUAUAGAGAGAGAGAAAGAGUUUGGUUGAGAUACUAUCGAUAGUUCCAAGCGUUUGGUAUUAUCGAGUUUUUUACUAUUAGAUUUAACUCUUUGACUAUUUUUACUUGUUAGAUUAUACUAUUCAAUCAAUAACUCACUUAACCCUAGAGGGUCCACAUCAUCGUAACUGCACAUUUUUUUCAUCCAAUGGCUGAAAACCUAAUAACACCGGCGCUUAGUACUAUCGAUAGUAUUUCAGCCUAGUUCUCUCCCUCUUUCUAUACUUUUCUACUUACCCAACCUCUUCGAUUCAAGAAUUACUGUCAA
rnacentral:lncRNA from 1 species